rnacentral:snRNA from 1 species
UAGCUCUGGUUUCUCUUCAGAUAGCAUAAAUCUCCUUUUACUAAAGAUUUCUAUGAAGAGAAACAGUAUGGAGUUGUAAAUCAAUUUUUUGAGGUCUCAUGUUGGGGGGGGGA